GUCAAAAAGGUCAACAUUGAGCAGAAAGAAAACCAGAUCACCUGCAGCUCAGAGGGGAUUUAUCCUGAACCAGAACUCACCUGGACCACCAGUCCUCCAUCCAGCAGGAACCUGCAGAAUCCACCAACAGUCCAGCCGACUGAACAGCAGCUUUACAACAUCAACAGCUCUCUGGUUCUUUCAGAUAGUGAUACGGACCUGGACUACAUCUGCACUGUCAGCACUGCAGCAAACAAGAGGAGAUCCACUCUGAUGAAACCAGCUGUUUUGAAUAGUUCAGACUCUGAAGCAACAAUCUCCUGCUGGACCUCCAAGACUCCUCUAACAAACCUCACCUGGAGAUUCAACCACAGUCAGAUCAUCCUAACGCAGAACAGAACUGAAGACACCUACACACCUUCAGAGAGGUGGAAGCAGCAUGUGAUAUCCGUGUCAGAGACAGGAAGUCUCACACUGAAGGAUUUAUCUUCAGACCAGACAGGAACUUACACAUGUGAACUCAGUGAUGGCGAGGAAACUUACAGAAAACACACCUUUCUUCACAUAACAGUUGCAGACCGUCAUACUGUUGGAUUGGUGGUUGGAGUUAUUGUAGUAGUUUUAGCCGCUGGAGUCGUAGUCUACGUACUUCACAAGAAGAAUAUCUGCUAAAUGGUGUGAAAGAACAAGAUCAUCCAUAAGUUCAUAGUUGACACAUAAAAGUUUACCACUGAGAACAUGAUCCUCAAAACUGUUAGAGCCAUCUAGAAAAACAAUAAGGAAAUACGUAUAUAUCUCGGCUGGACUUCUCAACAUUCCCACUUCGCACCUCAGCACCAUGGGUGCCCGAGCCUUCAGGUGCUCAGCACCCA